AUGGCUCAGGACGAACGCUGGCGGCAUGCCUAACACAUGCAAGUCGAACGGGGGUAGCAAUACCCUAGUGGCGAACGGGUGAGUAACACGUGAGCAACCUGCCCUUUACAACGGGAUACCACUAAGAAAUUAGUGCUAAUACGGUAUAUGACCACACCGAGGCAUCUCGGAGGGGUGAAAGCGAAAGCGGUAAAGGAUGGGCUCGCGUCCAAUUAGCUAGUUGGUGAGAUAACAGCCCACCAAGGCGACGAUUGGUAGCCGACUUGAGAGAGUGAUCGGCCACACUGGAACUGAGACACGGUCCAGACUCCUACGGGAGGCAGCAGUGGGGAAUAUUGGGCAAUGGAGGAAACUCUUACCCAAGCAAUGCCGCGUGAGUGAAUGAAGGUCUUCGGAUUGUAAAGCUCUUUGAUCGGGGACGAAUAAAUGACGGUACCCGAGGAACAAGCCCCGGCUAACUAUGUGCCAGCCGCCGC
rnacentral:rRNA from 1 species